rnacentral:lncRNA from 1 species
GGAUGGCUGAAGUUAGGGAGCGUGUGUCCCUCUUUUCCGGCUGCAGAGAAGUAAGGUGAUUGGGUGUAGGUCUGGUAUUGAUGGGAAGGCUUGCUGGAGUAGCUAGCUUGUCCUAAAUAAUUGAAGAAUGAAGAGUUUAUGGGAAUAGUGUAAGGUGGCACGCCAAUGAGAGAGUUGGAUUGAUUUGGUUAGCUAUUCACGGUGCUGUCACAUCUGGGAGUUUAAUUUUUAGUAAACAUGUUCAAAUUGGAAGAUGCAUUGCGGGCCAUGUAACGGGUUGGUGUGAGAAGGAAUUGUGCUUUGCUUGGUGGUGCACCCUGCUGCUAAGGCAGACACGUAGAACCUAAAUCCCUAAAACCCUAAUCCCUAAACCCUAAACCAUAAACCCCAAACCCCAAACCCCAAACCCUAAACCCUACACCCUAAACCCUAGGCCCUAGACCCUAGACCCUAGACCCUAAACCCUAGACCCUAAACCCUAAACCCUACACCAAAAAACCCUAAACCCUAAAAACCCCACACCCUUAACCAUAGACCCUGAACCCUAUACCCUGAACCCUAGAUCCUGAACCCUAGAC